rnacentral:misc_RNA from 1 species
GUUGAAAGUGCUGAUCUUAUAGCAUAUGGCCUUAUACCAGAGUUUAUUAGCCGUUUUCCUAUAUUAGUUAGCUUGUCGGCUCUUACUGAGGACCAACUUGUCCAGGUCCUCACAGAACCAAAAAAUGCUCUAGGCAAGCAGUACAAGAAAUUAUUUAGGAUGAAUAGAGUGAAGCUACAUUUUACAGAAAAAGCGCUAAGAUUAAUCGCCCGNNNNNNNNNNNNNUAAGAAUACUGGUGCUAGGGGUUUAAGAGCCAUACUAGAGAGUAUUCUAACUGAAGCCAUG